AGCCUCUAUGUGUUGCCCAUUCAUUUCUUUUCCAAAAUGAAUGUGGUGUCAGAUGAGGCUUACAUCAACUCUUAUUGCAAUCUUACAUGAAAAUCAAAAUGUUUCCAUGAAAUAAGCUCUGCAAUAAGAACAACA